GGGGGCGUAAAGGUUUCGACGGGGAUUUUGAAAUAUGAUAAGCGAGCGGAGCAUGGUGUAAUCUCCUUAAACUGCGCCACGUUUAAAUAUAAACGCAAGAAAUAAUAUUACAGUUACUAGAAAUAGUGCACUGGUAGCAGCUUAAGUCUGCUUCCGUCCACCGGCAGAGUACCGCGGCUGCCGCUUGGGCGUCAAUGAGCGGUGAACGAUCUCUGGGCGUGUCCGUGCCCUUUGAUUGUAUACGGACUACUUUCACUUUCAGCCCUUUUAUCGGCGGUCUGUAAAAGGAAUUUUAAUAGGUAAAAUACGCUCGUAGAAAGUUGUAUCAAUAAAUUUUCGGACACGAGUUCAAUUCUCGUCGCCUCC
rnacentral:tmRNA from 1 species